CCUACGGGGGGCAGCAGUAGGGAAUCUUUCACAAUGGGCGAAAGCCUGAUGGAGCAACGCCGCGUGCAGGAUGAAGGCCUUCGGGUUGUAAACUGCUUUUAUAAGCGAGAAAUAUGAUGGUAACUUAUGAAUAAGGAUCGGCUAACUACGUGCCAGCAGCCGCGGUCAUACGUAGGAUCCGAGCAUUAUCCGGAGUGACUGGGUGUAAAGAGUUGCGUAGGUGGCAUAAUAAGUAGCUAGUGAAAUCUGGUGGCUCAACCAUUCAGACUAUUAGCUAAACUGUUAAGCUCGAGAGCGUUAGGGGUAACUGGAAUUUCUGGUGUAGGAGUGAAAUCCGUAGAUAUUAGAAGGAACACCAAUAGCGUAGGCAGGUUACUGGGACGGUUCUGACACUGAGGCACGAAAGCGUAGGGAGCAAACGGGAUUAGAUACCCCUGUAGUC
rnacentral:rRNA from 1 species